CUCGUUAAAGAAAAGUAGUGCGCGUCUUGUGUCGUUACAAGUACAAAAACAAAAACACAUUAAAAGUACAAUGAUUAGUACAGUGUAAAUUAAAAUGCGGAAAAAUAGUACGGUUAGUAAAAUAAGAACGAAACAUUGAAGUCGAAAAGCACAUGUUAAAAGUUUUAUGUAAAUAUGUUAUAGCCAAAAAAAUCGUUAAAAGAACAACACAUUGUGAACGUUAAGCAGAACAAAACACAUUUAAAAGAAAAGGUCCAAGAGGGCCUUUUCUUGUUCGCAUGCUUUUUCUCCAGUAACAUCGUCCAGCUAGAACGCACAGCGGCACUAGAAACCCAAAUCCAGAAGCAGACAGAAGAGACCACAACCCUAACCUUGCUCGCCACUUCAAGGUUGUCGACGAAGCCCUCCCGGUGCUUGGUAAAAGCUGAGAUCAUCAACAACAAGUUCCAGGCUCUUCCGGGACGCCGGAAAGAGGCCUGCUGAAGCUAUCUUCGUCGUUGAAAACAACCCUAUCAACUUUCGAUGGAAUUCCGUCGACUCAACCUAGUUCUGGCUUACAAACAUCGUUCAACGGUUCCGCUGCAUGCUGCAGCUAAGUACGAAGAAGAAAACCGCAAGUAUGCUAAAAUGAAAAUGUGACGUCACCUUCCCAAAAAUUGUUUAAAAUAAACCCCAACGUUAUGUUUGUAUACAAAUUCAGGCUUUAGUAAUUUGCAAGAGAUAAUUGGUUGAUUUACACCUUUCUUAAAUUCAUAUUCGUUUUUCCAAUCAUUUGCUUAAAAGUUCACUUUCAUGAGAUUACAUGCUUUGCCCGCCUCGAUUUAAUGUUCAUUAAUAGUGUGGACUGGUUGCUAGCAUGCGAAGUAAUCACCCGUGUACGCCCCUGGUCGACUCGAUUCUAACUGGAUCACUCUGCUGCGAGUUCCGCGGA